rnacentral:rRNA from 1 species
GCAAGUCGAACGAGAAAGGGAUUGCUUGCAAUCCUGAGUAGAGUGGCGCACGGGUGAGUAACACGUAGAUAAUCUACCUCCAAGCCUGGAAUAACUAUUCGAAAGGGUAGCUAAUACCGGAUAAAGUUGAUUGACAUAAGUUGAUUAAUGAAAGAUUGCCUCUAUUUAUAAGCAAUUGUUUGGGGACGAGUUUGCGGACCAUUAGUUAGUUGGUGGGGUAACGGCCCACCAAGACUACGAUGGUUAGCUGGUCUGAGAGGAUGAUC